GUAGGUGGCAAGCGUUGUCCGGAAUUAUUGGGCGUAAAGCGCGCGCAGGCGGUUCUUUAAGUCUGAUGUGAAAGCCCACGGCUCAACCGUGGAGGGUCAUUGGAAACUGGAGAACUUGUGUACAGAAGAGGAAAGCGGAAUUCCACGUGUAGCGGUGAAAUGCGUAGAGAUGUGGAGGAACACCAGUGGCGAAGGCGGCUUUCUGGUCUGUAACUGACGCUGAGGCGCGAAAGCGUGGGGAGCAAACAGGGAUUAGAUACCCUGGUAGUCCACGCCGUAAACGAUGAGUGCUAAGUGUUAGGGGGGUUUCCGCCCCCUUAGUGCUGCAGCUAACGCAUUAAGCACUCCGCCUGGGGAGUACGGCCGCAAGGCUG
rnacentral:rRNA from 1 species